rnacentral:lncRNA from 1 species
AAAUACUUCUUCAGUCAUCGCUUUCUCAAAAGACUUGCUUUUUAUUAGAAAAAGAAAAUAUGUUAUUCGCUUUAUUUAUUCAGUAAAUAAAUUUAACUAAAAGAGUUGAGGCAACGCAGUCUCGAAAAAUAUUAAAGGCAACCAAACAAAAAAGACAAGUAAAAAUAAAAAUAAAAAAUCAUACAAAAAUUGAUAAUUUUAUUCCUCACUCAAAGCUAAGUCACUAAAAGCUGCAAAACUCAGCCCAUUUUUUGGUCACGUUCUGAAUUUGUCCAAUAAUCAAAAAAUGGCCAAAUGAUUGGUUCCUAAAAUUUAUGUUAUUUAUUUCCCAUCAGAUCAUCUACCAACAGAUUGCGAUCUUGGUUAGAAGACUAUUGCUAAUCGUUUGUUUUAUUAGAUGACU